AAUCAACGCUGGCGGCGUGCCUAACACAUGCAAGUCGAACGCGAAAGGGGCUUCGGCCCUGAGUAGAGUGGCAAACGGGUGAGUAACGCGUGGGUGACCUGCCUUCGAGUGGGGGAUAACGUUUCGAAAGGGACGCUAAUACCGCAUGACAUCCUGCCUUUCAAGAGGCGGACAUCAAAGCCGGGGAUCGCAAGACCUGGCGCUCGAAGAGGGGCCCGCGUCCGAUUAGCUAGUUGGUGGGGUAAUGGCUCACCAAGGCAACGAUCGGUAGCCGGCC
rnacentral:rRNA from 1 species